rnacentral:rRNA from 1 species
CGGGACGGGGUGGAGUAAUGUCUGGGGAAACAGCCUGAUGGAGGGGGGUAACUACUGGAAACGGGGGCUAAUACCGCAUAACGUCGCAAGACCAAAGAGGGGGACCUUCGGGGCCUCUUGCCAUCGGAUGUGCCCAGAUGGGAUUAGCUAGUAGGUGGGGUAACGGCUCACCUAGGCGACGAUCCCUAGCUGGUCUGAGAGGAUGACCAGCCACACUGGAACUGAGACACGGUCCAG